rnacentral:rRNA from 1 species
GACGAACGCUGGCGGCGUGCCUAAUACAUGCAAGUUGAGCGCUGAAGGUUGGUACUUGUACCGACUGGAUGAGCAGCGAACGGGUGAGUAACGCGUGGGGAAUCUGCCUUUGAGCGGGGGACAACAUUUGGAAACGAAUGCUAAUACCGCAUAAAAACUUUAAACACAAGUUUUAAGUUUGAAAGAUGCAAUUGCAUCACUCAAAGAUGAUCCCGGGUUGUAUUAGCUAGUUGGUGAGGUAAAGGCUCACCAAGGCGAUGAUACAUAGCCGACCUGAGAGGGUGAUCGGCCACAUUGGGACUGAGACACGGCCCAAACUCCUACGGGAGGCAGCAGUAGGGAAUCUUCGGCAAUGGACGAAAGUCUGACCGAGCAACGCCGCGUGAGUGAAGAAGGUUUUCGGAUCGUAAAACUCUGCUGGUAGAGAAGAACGUUAGUGAGAGUGGAAAGCUCAUCAAGUGACGGUAACUACCCAGAAAGGGACGGCUAACUACGUGCCAGCCGCCGCAGUAAGAC